AGGGGUAGAGCUCAGUGGCAGAGCGUGUGCUUAGCAUGCGCGAGGUCCUGGGUUCAAUCCCCGGUACCUCCG
rnacentral:tRNA from 1 species